AAAUGAAUUGACGGGGCCGCACAAGCGGUGGAUUAUGUGGAUUAAUUCGAUGCAGCGCGAAAAACCUUACCUGGCCCUGACAUGUAACGAACUUCCAGAGAUGGAUUGGUGCUCGAAAGAGAACGUUAACACAGGUGCUGCAUGGCUGUCGUCAGCUCGUGUCGUGAGAUGUUGGGUUAAGUCCCGCAACGAGCGCAACCCUUGCCAUUAAUUGCCAUCAUUUAGUUGGGCACUUUAAAUGGGACUGCCGGUGACAAACCGGAGGAAGGUGGGGAUGACGUCAAGUCCUCAUGGCCCUUAUGGCCAGGGCUUCACACGUAAUACAAUGGUCGGUACAGAGGGUUGCCAACCCGCGAGGGGGAGCCAAUCCCAGAAAGCCGAUCGUAGUCCGGAUUGUAGUCUGCAACUCGACUACAUGAAGUCGGAAUCGCUAGUAAUCGCGGAUCAGCAUGUCCGCGGUCCGAAUACGUUCCGGGCCUU
rnacentral:rRNA from 1 species